rnacentral:rRNA from 1 species
CCUACGGGAGGCAGCAGUGGGGAAUUUUGGACAAUGGGCGCAAGCCUGAUCCAGCAAUGCCGCGUGAGUGAAGAAGGCCUUCGGGUUGUAAAGCUCUUUUGUCAGGGAAGAAACGGUAGAGGCUAAUAUCCUUUGCUAAUGACGGUACCUGAAGAAUAAGCACCGGCUAACUACGUGCCAGCAGCCGCGGUAAUACGUAGGGUGCAAGCGUUAAUCGGAAUUACUGGGCGUAAAGCGUGCGCAGGCGGUUUUGUAAGUCUGACGUGAAAGCCCCGGGCUCAACCUGGGAAUUGCGUUGGAGACUGCAAGGCUUGAAUCUGGCAGAGGGGGGUAGAAUUCCACGUGUAGCAGUGAAAUGCGUAGAGAUGUGGAGGAACACCGAUGGCGAAGGCAGCCCCCUGGGUCAAGAUUGACGCUCAUGCACGAAAGCGUGGGGAGCAAACAGGAUUAGAUACCCUGGUAGUCCACGCCCUAAACGAUGUCUACUAGUUGUCGGGUUUUAAUUAACUUGGUAACGCAGCUAACGCGUGAAGUAGACCGCCUGGGGAGUACGGUCGCAAAGAUUAAAACUUCAAAAUUGAAAUUGACGG